rnacentral:tRNA from 1 species
GCCUUCGUGGUGUAACGGUAGCACGCUGGACUGGUAUUCCAGAAGUACGGGGUUCGAUUCCCGGUGAAGGCA